UGCAGCAGGCGCGAAACCUCCCGCAAUGUGAGAAAUCGCGACGGGGGGAUCCCAAGUGCCAUUCUUAACGGGAUGGCUUUUCUUUAGUGUAAAGAGCUUUUGGAAUAAGAGCUGGGCAAGACCGGUGCCAGCCGCCGCGGUAACACCGGCAGCUCUAGUGGUAGCAUUUUAUUGGGCCUAAAGCGUCCGUAGCCGGUUUAAUAAGUCUCUGGUGAAAUCCUGCAGCUUAACUGUGGGAAUUGCUGGAGAUACUAUUAGACUUGAGACCGGGAGAGGUUAGAGGUACUCCCAGGGUAGAGGUGAAAUUCUGUAAUCCUGGGAGGACCACCUGUUGCGAAGGCGUCUAACUGGAACGAUUCUGACGGUGAGGGACGAAAGCUAGGGCCGCAAACCGGAUUAGAUACCCGGGUAGUCCUAGCUGUAAACGAUGCGGACUUGGUGUUGGGGUGCCUUUGAGCUCUUUAGUGCCGAAAGAA
rnacentral:rRNA from 1 species